ACGAACGCUGGCGGCAGGCUUAACACAUGCAAGUCGAGCGCCCCGCAAGGGGAGCGGCCGACGGGUGAGUAACGCGUGGGAACGUACCUUUUGGUUCGGAACAACUCCGGGAAACUGGAGCUAAUACCGGAUAAGCCCUAACGGGGAAAGAUUUAUCGCCGAAAGAUCGGCCCGCGUCUGAUUAGCUAGUUGGUGAGGUAACGGCUCACCAAGGCGACGAUCAGUAGCUGGUCUGAGAGGAUGAUCAGCCACACUGGGACUGAGACACGGCCCAGACUCCUACGGGAGGCAGCAGUGGGGAAUAUUGGACAAUGGGCGCAAGCCUGAUCCAGCCAUGCCGCGUGAGUGAUGAAGGCCUUAGGGUUGUAAAGCUCUUUUGUCCGGGAAGAUAAUGACUGUACCGGAAGAAUAAGCCCCGGCUAACUUCGUG
rnacentral:rRNA from 1 species